rnacentral:tRNA from 1 species
GGAUUUGUGCCUGAAUUUUAGGGCCACUUUGAUAGAGUGUGACAUGGGGGUUAAAGUCCUCCCAAUUCCU